AUACUUACCUGGCAGGAGAGAUACCAUGAUCACAAAGGUGGUUUUCCCAGGGCGAGGCUUAUCCAUUGCACACCGGGUGUGCCGAUUCCUGUGAUUUCCCCAAAUGUGGGAAACCUGACUGCAUAAUUUGUGGUAGGCGGAUAAUGCGUUCGAGCUCUCCCCUG